rnacentral:lncRNA from 1 species
GAGACUCUGAAGUUGAAGUUACUUGCCCUCUGAAAAAAGGCCUCCCAGUGAGUAAGAUGCAGAGCCAAGACCAGCAUGCAGAUCACGUGCCAGCCCUGCAUUCUUUCCACUUCCCAUAAGUUGAAGAAAAAGACAGCGCGACAGUAGCCACAAAAAUGACCUCCUACAAAAACCAAGGCAACUGAGAACAUCAGGUAAAUUUGGACACAGACACAGAUAAAGGAGAAUGCCAUGUGAAGACACACACAGACACACAGAGGAGGCGGCCAUGUGAAGAUGGAGUCAGAGAGUGGAGUUGUGCAGCCACAAGUCAAGGAAUGCUCGGGGCUAUCAGAAACUGGAAGAAGCAAGGAAGGAUCCUCCUCUACAAGCUUCAGAGGGAGUACGGCCCUGCCAACACCUUGAUUUCAUACUACUAGCUUCUGGACCUGAAACACAGUUUGAAGUAUUAAGGAGAAGAGGAACAUGACGUCUGCGAUUUAUUCUCAAGUGUUUUAGAAAAAAUAUGUGUGUCUGUGUGCGUAUGAGUAGAAAGAGAGAAUGAUAAAGCAGUUGUAAGAAGAUGCUUACAAGAGAUGCAUCUUGAUAAAGGGUAUGUGAAAGUUCUUUUUACUGUUUUUGCAUACUAUUUUCUGUAAGUUGAAAGUACUUCAAAUUAA